GUUGGGGAUAUAGCUCAGUGGCAAGGUGCUUGCCUAGCAUGCAUGAGGUCCAGGGUUCAAUCCCCAGCACAACA
rnacentral:tRNA from 1 species